CCUACGGGUGGCAGCAGUGGGGAAUAUUGCACAAUGGGGGAAACCCUGAUGCAGCGACGCCGCGUGAGUGAAGAAGGAUUUCGGUACGUAAAGCUCUAUCAGCAGGGAAGAAAAUUACGGUACCUGACUAAGAAGCCGCGGCUAACUACGUGCCAGACGCCGCGGUAAUACGUAGGGGGCAAGCGUUAUCCGGAUUUACUGGGUGUAAAGGGAGCGUAGACGGCAGCGCAAGUCUGGAGUGAAAUCCCAGGGCUUAACCAUGGAACUGCUUUGGAAACUGUGCAGCUAGAGUGCAGGAGAGGUAAGCGGAAUGCCUAGUGUAGCGGUGAAAUGCGUAGAUAUUAGGCGGAACUCCAGUGGCGAAGGCGGCUUACUGGACUGUAACUGACGUUGAGGCUCGAAAGCGUGGGGAGCAAACAGGAUUAGAUACCCGGGUAGUC
rnacentral:rRNA from 1 species